UACAGGGGGUGCAAACGUUGCUCGGAAUCAUUGGGCGUAAAGCGCACGUAGGCGGUUCGUUAUGUCGGAUGUGAAAGCCCUUGGCUUAACCGAGGAAGUGCAUCCGAAACUGGCGAGCUAGAGUACUAAAGAGGAUCGCGGAAUUCCCGGUGUAGAGGUGAAAUUCGUAGAUAUUCGGAAGAACACCAGUGGCGAAGGCGACUUACUGGACACAUAUUGACGCUGAGGUGCGAAAGCG
rnacentral:rRNA from 1 species